rnacentral:ncRNA from 1 species
CUGCCGGUGUGAGUCCGGUCCGGGUAAUCGCCGGGGAGCCCGGUAGCAGGCUGGCGGCUUGGUCUAGAAACGGGCCAGGUCGAAGCCCAGCGUCGAAAGCCCAUUUUGGGGAGCAACUGAGCGGUCCGUAGCGGAA